UGGCGGCGUGCUUAACACAUGCAAGUCGAACGAUGAAGCCUAGCUUGCUAGGUGGAUUAGUGGCGCACGGGUGAGUAAUAUAUAGAUAAUGUGCCUCUUAGUCUGGGAUAGCCAUUGGAAACGAUGAUUAAUACUGGAUACUCCUUCUAACUCUAAUGUUAGUCGGGAAAGUUUUUUCGCUAAGAGAUCAGUCUAUAUCCCAUCAGCUUGUUGGUAGUGUAAGAGACUACCAAGGCUAUGACGGGUAGCGGGUUUGAGAGGAUGAUCCGCCACACUGGUACUGAGACACGGACCAGACUCCUACGGGAGGCAGCAGUGAGGAAUAUUGCACAAUGGGGGAAACCCUGAUGCAGCAACGCCGCGUGGAGGAUGACGCAUUUCGGUGUGUAAACUCCUUUUAUAUGUCAAGAAAAUGACGGUAGCAUAUGAAUAAGCACCGGCUAACUCCGUGCCAGCAGCCGCGGUAAUACGGAGGGUGCAAGCGUUAUUCGGAAUCACUGGGCGUAAAGGACGCGUAGGCGGGAUAGUAAGUCUGAUGUGAAAUCCUAUGGCUUAACCAUAGAACUGCAUUGGAAACUACUAACCUAGAGUAUGGGAGGGGGAGAUGGAAUUAGUGGUGUAGGGGUAAAAUCCGUAGAUAUCACUAGGAAUACCGAAAGCGAAGGCGAUCUCCUGGAACAAUACUGACGCUAAGGCGUGAAAGCGUGGGGAGCAAACGGGAUUAGAUACCCCGGUAGUCCACGCCCUAAACGAUGAACACUAGUCGUCGGAAUGCUAGUCAUUUCGGUGAUGCACUUAACAGAUUAAGUGUUCCGCCUGGGGAGUAC
rnacentral:rRNA from 1 species